rnacentral:rRNA from 1 species
UACGUAGGGUGCGAGCGUUGUCCGGAAUUAUUGGGCGUAAAGAGCUCGUAGGCGGUGUGUCACGUCGGCCGUGAAAACCUGCAGCUUAACUGUGGGCGUGCGGUCGAUACGGGCAUCACUGGAGUUCGGCAGGGGAGACUGGAAUUCCUGGUGUAGCGGUGAAAUGCGCAGAUAUCAGGAGGAACACCGGUGGCGAAGGCGGGUCUCUGGGCCGAUAUCGACGCUGAGGAGCGAAAGCGUGGGGAGCGAACAGG